rnacentral:rRNA from 1 species
CACGAACACUGGCGGCAGGCUUAACACAUGCAAGUCGAGCGCCCCGCAAGGGGAGCGGCAGACGGGUGAGUAACGCGUGGGAAUCUACCCAUCUCUACGGAAUAACGCAUGGAAACGUGUGCUAAUACCGUAUACGUCCUUCGGGAGAAAGAUUUAUCGGGGAUGGAUGAGCCCGCGUUGGAUUAGCUAGUUGGUGGGGUAAAGGCCUACCAAGGCGACGAUCCAUAGCUGGUCUGAGAGGAUGAUCAGCCACACUGGGACUGAGACACGGCCCAGACUCCUACGGGAGGCAGCAGUGGGGAAUAUUGGACAAUGGGCGCAAGCCUGAUCCAGCCAUGCCGCGUGAGUGAUGAAGGCCCUAGGGUUGUAAAGCUCUUUCACCGGUGAAGAUAAUGACGGUAACCGGAGAAGAAGCCCCGGCUAACUUCGUGCCAGCAGCCGCGGUAAUAC